CCUGCCCUCCAGCAGUUGCAGGAGUGGCUGCUGGGUUACAUGUAUAUCAGCAGGUAGCAGAGAGGAGAGAGGCUAUGUCUACACUCAGGGGUCAGACCUAGAAACAUCUCAGUAGUUAGUAGCCUAACAUA